UACAGAGGUCUCAAGCGUUGUUCGGAUUCAUUGGGCGUAAAGGGCGUGUAGGCGGCCAACUAAGUCCGACGUGAAAUCCCCAGGCUUAACCUGGGAACUGCGUCGGAUACUGGAUGGCUUGAAUCCGGGAGAGGGAUGCAGAAUUCCAGGUGUAGCGGUGAAAUGCGUAGAUAUCUGGAGGAAUACCGGUGGCGAAGGCGGCAUCCUGGACCGGCAUUGACACUGAAGCGCGAAAGCUAGGGGAGCAAACGGG
rnacentral:rRNA from 1 species